rnacentral:rRNA from 1 species
GAGACAGCAGUCGCCGCGGUAAUACGUAGGGGGCAAGCGUUAUCCGGAAUUACUGGGUGUAAAGGGAGCGUAGACGGUUAAACAAGUCUGAAGUGAAAUGCCGGGGCUUAACCCCGGAGCUGCUUUGGGAACUGUAGAACUGGAGUGUCGGAGGGGUAAGCGGAAUUCCCAGUGUAGCGGUGAAAUGCGUAGAUAUUGGGAGGAACACCGGCGGCGAAGGCGGCUUACUGGACGACAACUGACGUUGAGGCUCGAAGGCGUGGGUAGCAAACAGGAUUAGAUACCCCAGUAGUCCCUGUCUCUUAUAC